GGACUACCGGGGUAUCUAAUCCUGUUUGCUCCCCACGCUUUCGCACCUCAGCGUCAGUCUCUGUCCAGGUGGUCGCCUUCGCCACCGGUGUUCCUCCCAAUAUCUACGAAUUUCACCUCUACACUGGGAAUUCCACCACCCUCUCCAGGACUCAAGCUCGUCAGUUUCGAAUGCACUUCCACAGUUAGGCUGUGGGAUUUCACACCCGACUUAACAAGCCGCCUACGCGCGCUUUACGCCCAGUAAUUCCGAACAACGCUUGCACCCUCUGUCUUACCGCGGCUGCUGGCAC
rnacentral:rRNA from 1 species